UACGAAGGGGGCUAGCGUUGUUCGGAAUUACUGGGCGUAAAGCGCGCGUAGGCGGUUUUGCAAGCCAGAGGUGAAAUGCCUGAGCUCAACUUAGGAAUUGCCUUUGGGACUGCGAGGCUUUGAGGACUGGAGAGGUGAGUGGAAUUCCCAGUGUAGAGGUGAAAUGCGCAGAUAUCAGGAAGAACACCCGUGGCGAAGGCGGCUCUCUGGGACGGUACUGACGCUGAGACGCGAAAGCGUGGGGAGCGAACAGG
rnacentral:rRNA from 1 species